CAGAUGUUCAUUGGUGAUGGUGCCAAACUUGUCCGUGAUGCCUUUCAGCUCGCAAAAGAGAAAUCACCCUGCAUCAUAUUUAUAGAUGAAAUUGAUGCAAUUGGCACUAAGCGGUUUGACAGUGAAGUAAGUGGAGAUAGGGAAGUGCAGAGGACCAUGUUAGAAUUGCUUAAUCAGCUUGAUGGCUUUAGUAGUGAUGAGAGGAUUAAGGUGAUAGCUGCAACAAAUCGUGCUGAUAUCUUGGAUCCUGCCCUCAUGCGAUCUGGCAGAUUGGAUCGCAAAAUUGAGUUUCC
rnacentral:misc_RNA from 1 species